CGUGCUUAACACAUGCAAGUCGAACGAAUGGAUUAAGAGCUUGCUCUUAUGAAGUUAGCGGCGGACGGGUGAGUAACACGUGGGUAACCUGCCCAUAAGACUGGGAUAACUCCGGGAAACCGGGGCUAAUACCGGAUACGACCUCCCUGGGCAUCCUGGGAGGUGGAAAGCUUGUCGGUGAGGGAUGGGCCCGGGGCCUAGCAGGUUGUGGGUGAGGUAGUGGCUCCCCAAGGCGACGACGGGUAGCCGGCCUGAGAGGGCGAUCGGCCACACUGAGACUGAGACACGGUCCAGACACCUACGGGAGGCAGCAAUGGGGGAUAUUGCGCAAUGGGCGAAAGCCUGACGCAGCAGCGCCGCGGGCGGGAUGAAGGCCUUCGGGUUGUAAACCGCUAUCAGCAGCGAAGAAGCCGCAAGGUGACGGUACCUGCAGAAGGAGCACCGGCUAACUACGUGCCAGCCGCCGCAGUAA
rnacentral:rRNA from 1 species